UGUUACUGAAAAAAACAGGUAGUUGCUCCA
rnacentral:piRNA from 1 species